CUGAGAAGUAAAUAGUUGUAGGUGGAUUGGGGAAGAAUACCAGAAUUCGAAGUUUCACCACACUGGAGAUGAUUAUAACACUUUUUCCUUCAGGUCUCCCACUGCUUGUUCAAAAACCUGGUUGCAGUUGCAGAUGUCCAUGUCAGAGAGAACUAAAGCCUGGCUGGAGGACUGAAAAGAUUCUCCAGCUCCUGUCCUGUUUGGCUGUGUCUUCAUGCAGCGCCAGUGCACUCCUGCAGCUUCCUCUAAACUCCUCCUCCACCGCGC
rnacentral:lncRNA from 1 species